rnacentral:rRNA from 1 species
AUGGAGAAUAAUCUACCAGUCAACAUUCGUGAGUAUCAAGAACUCGCCAAGAAAGCACUGUCAAAGAUGCACUAUGAUUACAUCAACGGAGGAGCGGAGGAUGAACACACAUUGAGGGACAAUAUCGCAGCAUAUGGAAGAAUUUUGUUACGACCUCGGGUUCUUGUAGAUGUCAGCAACAUAGACAUGUCGACAAGCUUGUUGGGAUAUAACAUGCCCUCUCCCAUAAUUGUUGCACCAACGGGGUCACACAAUAGCAAACCCAGAAGGGAGGUGGCUACAGCAAAAGCUGCAGCGUCAUGCAAUAGCCUAAUGGUGCUAUCCUUCUCAUCCAAUUGCAGAAUAGAGGAGGUUGCCGCCAGUUGUGAUGCGAUUCGUUUUUAUCAGUUAUAUGUGUUUAAGAAGAGAGCUGUUUCAGCAACAUUGGUACGGCGGGCCGAGAGUAAUGGAUUCAAGGCAAUUGUUUUGACAGUUGAUAAUCCUAUGCUCGGCCGUCGUGAACGUGAUAUUAGAAAUAAGAUGGUUGCUCCUGCCAAGCCAAACCUCGAAGGUUUAAUUUCAUUAGAGAAUCUUGAUACUACAGACGGCUCGCAGCUUGUGAAAUACGUGCGGGAUACGAUGGAUCCAUCCUUAUCGUGGAAGGAUGUGGAGUGGCUGAAAUCCAUAACCAGCCUACCGAUUCUACUGAAGGGCAUCCUCACGGCUGAGGAUGCUAGGAAAGCAGUGGAGGCUGGGGUGGCCGGUGUGAUCGUGUCCAACCACGGCGGUCGGCAGCUUGACUAUGCGCCUGCCACCAUAUCCGUGCUCGAAGAGGUAGUGAAGGCGGUGGCGGGGGCGGUGCCGGUGCUGGUGGACGGUGGAAUCCGGCGGGGGACCGACGUGCUCAAGGCGCUGGCGCUCGGUGCCCGGGGAGUCAUGGUGGGGAGGCCGGUGAUGUACGGGCUGGCGGCGCGGGGCGAGGCCGGGGCGAAGCACGUGAUCGAGAUGCUGAACAGGGAGCUGGAGCUGGCCAUGGCGCUCUGCGGCUGCCGGAGCCUCGCCGAGAUCACCCGGGACCGUGUACAGACCGAGGGCGACCGGAUCAGGUCGCUGCUGUGA